CAUAUGGGGCCAUUGAAGUCCAUGAAAUAUGGCUCUUUAUUAAAAGCUAUCUACAAGUUCUCAAUGGUGCACCAAAACUAUGGUAAGUAGGUUUAGAUUUAGAAAUUCCUUUUUGCUCUGAAAGACCCUUUUAAAUCCUUCAAAAUUGAACCAUUGCUGGUUAAAAAUGAAUCGUAUUUACAUCUCAUUACAGAAAACUUUGCAUUCAUUUGGAAUGGACAAUUAAAAAUUGAACCAUUCUAUUGUAUUGAGUUGUUCUGCAAUCUCCUUGUUGUAUCAGGUUCAUAAAUUAGUAUAACUUGAGGACAUCAUCUAUUUUAGAGUUUGGGGUCAUGCUUGGAUGACAGGGAAAUGCUCAAGUUCCCAACAAUGGCUGUAGACUAUAUAAAUUUUGAGGACAAUGCUGGAGUAUUCAGCAUCUGCCCAUGAAGUUUUAUAAUAUUAUUUGUAUUGCAUCAAUGUAGACAAGUCCAUUAAGCUUCCAAUCUGAAAGUUGGGAAGUAUCAAAUGCUGAAAUCCCCAAUAUUUGCCUGGAUAAACCUUUGUGCAAAUUGCUGAAUUUAAAUCCAUCUUUGGACAUCAAAGAUAUUUCUGUUUAUUAUUUCAAUCAUGUGGGUGAAUUUCACUUA
rnacentral:lncRNA from 1 species